ACGGGUGAGUAACACGUAGGUAACCUGCCCAGAAGCGGGGGACAACAUUUGGAAACAGAUGCUAAUACCGCAUAACAACGUUGUUCGCAUGAACAACGCUUAAAAGAUGGCUUCUCGCUAUCACUUCUGGAUGGACCUGCGGUGCAUUAGCUUGUUGGUGGGGUAACGGCCUACCAAGGCGAUGAUGCAUAGCCGAGUUGAGAGACUGAUCGGCCACAAUGGGACUGAGACACGGCCCAUACUCCUACGGGAGGCAGCAGUAGGGAAUCUUCCACAAUGGGCGCAAGCCUGAUGGAGCAACACCGCGUGAGUGAAGAAGGGUUUCGGCUCGUAAAGCUCUGUUGUUAAAGAAGAACACGUAUGAGAGUAACUGUUCAUACGUUGACGGUAUUUAACCAGAAAGU
rnacentral:rRNA from 2 species